rnacentral:rRNA from 1 species
UACGUAGGUGGCAAGCGUUGUCCGGAUUUACUGGGCGUAAAGGGCGUGCAGGCGGUCUGUUAAGUGCAGGGUGAAAGCUCCCGGCUCAACUGGGAGAGGUCCUUGCAUACUGGCGGACUUGAGGGGGGUAGAGGAAAGUGGAAUUCCCGGUGUAGUGGUGAUAUGCGUAGAUAUCGGGAGGAACACCUGUGGCGAAGGCGGCUUUCUGGGCCGAUACUGACGCUGAGGAGCGAAAGCGUGGGGAGCAAACAGG